AGGGAAUCUUCCGCAAUGGACGAAAGUCUGACGGAGCAACGCCGCGUGAGUGAUGAAGGUUUUCGGAUCGUAAAGCUCUGUUGCCAGGGAAGAACGUCUUCUGGAGUAACUGCCAGGAGAGUGACGGUACCUGAGAAGAAAGCCCCGGCUAACUACGUGCCAGCAGCCGCGGUAAUACGUAGGGGGCAAGCGUUGUCCGGAAUUAUUGGGCGUAAAGCGCGCGCAGGCGGCUGUUUAAGUCUGGUGUUUAAUCCUGGGGCUCAACCCCGGGUCGCACUGGAAACUGGGCAGCUUGAGUGCAGAAGAGGAGAGUGGAAUUCCACGUGUAGCGGUGAAAUGCGUAGAGAUCGGGAGGAACACCAGUGGCGAAGGCGGCCUGCUGGGCUUUAACUGACGCUGAGGCACGAAAGCAUGGGUAGCAAAC
rnacentral:rRNA from 1 species